AAGCCACACCUGCACGUUCUAGGCUGCUCACUGCCGCCAACACAAGCGGGGUAACAUGGCUGUUGUUGCCUCGUUUUUCGAUAAAAUCCUACGCUUUGGUUCCCUUUGCAUCCUUUGUCAUCUUCUCAUGGCGCUGCGAGCAGACUUAUCUAGUGCAUCGCCGUUUUGAUUCUCGGAAUACUGGGCCAGCCGAUUUUACGGACAACCUUUGAAGGCAGGGAAGAUACAACCAGGAGCCUCACGAUGAAUGCCUUGACGCAAGCGACACGAUAGGCAAAAGGCCAAGCGCCAAAGAACAACCCGGUUAAACAAAGAAACACGCGAGUUAUCGUCAGCAGCUUUACUGAAGAUUCAAGUCUCUCAACUUACGGUUCCUUCAUCUGGGGUGUUAUCAAGAACACGGUGCAUACUAGCCACACAGACCAUCGGUACCAUAUCACCCUGCAUAUAAAAACGGCAGAAAUGAUAGCCAAAGGAACAAUUCGCCCAGUCCAUAUUUACUCAAAAGACGACAAGGGAGAGGAGUAUGAAUCAUUCAAAAUUUUCGACGAGAGACCAGAAAAGGUGACAGAUGGCGAGUCUGGAGAACAAAUUGAGUAAUUGAGAUCAUUGAGGAGAAGAACCUUCAAUGAGAGUUGUCUGAUUGUCUUUGCAUUGGCUCUGAAUAUUUACUGCAUUAGUUAUAUGAAGACGAGUUUGCUGGCUUCCUGUCUUCAUCUAUGUAGCUUGGUUACCUGAAAUCAGGAGCCCUUGCACGAUACUCAUAUUAUUUAAAAGCAUUACCUUAUAAACCACAUUUCGGAAAGCCUUCAUCCCCAACAUCCACAUGGCGAACCACUCGACUCGCUCCCAUACUAAGAGCCUUCACCAAUCAAUCAUAUGACU
rnacentral:sRNA from 1 species